UGGGAGACAUCGCUGGUGGAGAUGUAGCUGUCCGGGGCGUGAGGGCGGCUCCAAGCCCCGCGUUAGCAGCGGGGAGGACCGGAGCUGUGGACGCGGAGGAUGGACCCGUCAGGAGCAUAAAUGGACUGCGCCGGCUGGGACGUCACGAUGCGUCGUCGCCACAAAGCUCAUGAACGCGUUCAUUUGGCUCCCAGCAUGCAGCACACCCGGAGGGACCGCCGCUUACAAGGAGGACCCCCUAAAAGCCCGCCCUGGAGCCCCCGAGGAGGAAAGAGAGCAUCCAGAGGUUUCUGUCGCGCAUUCGUUGCUGCAGGCCUGAGGGGUUGUCUGUUAUCUUUGGUUAUCUAGCUGUAUGAGUGACGUACAUUCUUCAUAAAGCUAGAUAACCGAAAGUAACAAGAAUCCCAUUACACGCCUGCACAGGAAGAAGGAAAACGGCGUGGAAAUUGAGCCCAGAGAGCAGCGGAUCGGGCUGGAGGUGGACGGCAGCUGCUGCUAACCAAUGAUGUGAAGGUUUCUAAUCCAGAGGAGUUUUACAACAAACUGCUCAACGACUGAAGCUGAAGAAAAGAUCUCAAACAAAACAACCUGAUAUAAAUCAGCUCACAUCGUUCGGUUGGAUGCAGAAAACACCGACCGUUCGACAUGUUGGAUAAGUCAAACGAUACAAAGGACAGAGUAAUGGAUUCUGGGAAGCCGCCCUGCACAGAUGUUCAGGAAACAUCUGGACUAGAUUUUAAUGUAGGUCAGAGCUCAGAUCAGCAUCUCUCUCGCAAACAAAACAAUUCAGCUGAGAUGUUGGUCAUACUUAUGUAUUUUUAUGUUAAAAAAAUCUGAAAUUGACAAAAUUAGUGAUUUUAAGUAGUCAAGUUUUAGAUCUGUUUUAUUUUAGGAAUAACUUUUUUUCAUCUUUAUCUUAAUUUCUUUAGUUUCCUUAGCGUUUAAGUCUUAUACUUGGUGAUAAAUAUUUGUCCCGUGUGAAUCUGAAUGUUUCAGUUUGUUGACAAUCUUAGGACUCUCAGCAGUCAUCUCUGAUUUUAUGUCAAACUUGUUACAUUUACUUUAUUUACUCAGGAUAAAAAUUUAUUAUUAUUUCUGACUGAGAAUGUAGCAUUUGUUUCUUGAAAUUUUGCACUAAUUGAAGCAGUUUGCAGAAAGGUUUUGUUUUAGAUGUUUAAAAGUGUAAAUGUUUAAUGUGCAUCUGUAUCGUAAGACUUUAUGUUGCACGCUUACUCUGCAGGGACUUUGUGUGCAUGCAAUCAGAGCUACAUAAAGAAACUUUGUCUAUGCAAGGAAAAGAAAAUACAAUAUUUUUUUGUAGUAUGUGUUAUUGAAAAUAAUUUGCACAGAUCAGUUAGAUUUGCACUAAAAAGGUUAGAUGUUCAGGCUUGAUUUGCACUAUAUGAGCACAAUGCAAUGUAGAAAAAUGAAAAUUAAACAUGAGUUUUUGUUCCACAAAUAUGUAUAAAUUACUGAUUCAAAAUGUUAAAAAAGUCUCAUUUUGUUGUAAUGUGAACACGUGCAACUGAUUUUAAUCAGAAAAAACUGUUUAAAGGCACUAAUAAUUACACAAUAUUGCACUAUUAAUAAUUCCCUCUUAGCAAUUUUAGAAGUUGAGUUUGCACAUAUCCUGAACUGUCCUAUGCAGCGGUUUCUAAUGUAAAUCAAUAAAAGUAUUGAUGUUUACAAUAAGACAUUCA